rnacentral:rRNA from 1 species
CAGCCGCCGCGGUAACACAGAGGGUGCGAGCGUUAAUCGGAUUUACUGGGCGUAAAGCGUGCGUAGGCGGCUUUUUAAGUCGGAUGUGAAAUCCCUGAGCUUAACUUAGGAAUUGCAUUCGAUACUGGGAAGCUAGAGUAUGGGAGAGGAUGGUAGAAUUCCAGGUGUAGCGGUGAAAUGCGUAGAGAUCUGGAGGAAUACCGAUGGCGAAGGCAGCCAUCUGGCCUAAUACUGACGCUGAGGUACGAAAGCAUGGGGAGCAAACAGGAUUAGAUACCCGUGUAGUCCCUGUCUCUUAUAC